CUUAAAGGUUAAAUAUAAUAGUGACACUAUAUAAUAUUAACAUAUAUUAGCUUUUACCAAGUAAUUUUACUGUUUGUUGUAGACUGGCGAGAUGAUGGUGCAGCAGCGUCUUGUUUGAAAAUGAGCUGUCUCUCCACAUCCAUGAGGGGCUGAAGUGACUGGCGGUCUUCCAUGUCCAUUGGACAUAUGCACAGCAAGAUCUUGCAGAGUUAAUAGGGGGAAGAUGACUGUUUUUCAGAAGGCUUAUAAAGAGAUGAUCCAAGACCUGAGAGGGAACAAUGUGCAGGGAACUGAAAUACAGUGAAACCCUCAUCAGUGCUCUUUGAUGCGAGAUUAACCUCAGUCAUAUGUCACGGGAAGCCUGGAUGAGGAUUUCCAGCACUGGAAGAAGUGCAGCAGUUGUGUAAGAGGUUCAUCUGCCAGUGCUACAGAUGCAAUGGGUAAACUACCGCAUCUCUCCGCCACAAGAUACCGGUCUUGCAACUGGCCUUAGAAAUGUAUGUCUCAUAAAUAUAGAUCAAUAUCUCUUCAGAUAUCAUCAUUAUGAUGCUUGAAGUGUGAGUUGGUCUAAAUGAAUGACCUGUGUUUGAAUUAUAUGUAAGAAAUUUAGAUUUAUUUUGUCCAAAA